UGUCUUAAAAACUUCAAAUGACCAUGGGCAGGUAAAAACCUUUAUAACAGUAUUAUGUAAUCUAUCAUAAAAGUUAGCAUAUAUACCACAUAUUUCAGACCUGUUUUUGAUGGAGAUUGUGAAAAAUUGUUUAAAGGAUACUGUAAAGUGAAUGAGUCUGUGUUUGUUCAGAUCUUUGAAAUCUGAAAUAUAUUGUCAGUGGUAGUAAUUAAAAUGGACUCCUGUUAUAGUAUCCCACAGGAACAUUUCUCACAGGAAAUCCCGAAGGCACUGCUGCUGAUAACUUCUGAUGCCCACCCCUGUUUGUGCCAGCAAAUUGGGCAGUGAAACCAUGCGGGUUUUUUGGGGGAGAAGCUCGUACGUUUUUGACAGAUAAGAAAGAACGCGAUGUUCGCUGCACAUCUUGUAGCAGAAGACGGUCUGUUUAGACCUACCCAUUUGCACCAGAAAACAAUGCAGUCAUUUCUGUUACAGGAAUUUUGUGUGACUUCCAAGAGAGUUCAAAGUGGAAUCAGCCGACAGAACUGCAUUUAAUAAGCUGUGGUGGCUGAAGCAGCAUGCACACGAUGUCUGUGAUGCCACUCAAAGCGUUUUGGCACAUGACCUGUAUACAGUAUACCCAUGCCAUCAGGAAAUUGAAAACUUCCCUGGAAAAAAAAGUAUUCAAUAUUCUGUAUUGGUUGCAGUUGUUCCUUGUUUUAUUCUCACAUCUGCAUUUUUUUUUAACAGCUUCGAUGGUCUCUGGCAGCCUGUUUGUUAUAAUGGUGGUGAGACAAAUAGUGCACAUGUGAAGUCUUAACAAGUUCUUUAUUGCAGAAAUCUGCUGCUUAUCUCUGCAGCCAAAACUAAAUUGCCUACAGUAUACUUUAAUUGGAAAACUUUAACCUGACUUUCACCUCUUCUCUUCAGUGGUAGUGUAUCUAAAUGUCUUUGAUGAUACAAAAAACAACUUUUGUUUCUGUUCUUUCUGCCUGAUUAUAACCAUACCAUUAGUUCGGACGAGCUAACAAUGAAACAAGCAUCUUAGGGAAACCCUCAUGUUGUGACCUGAUACAAUCUAAUGUUUAUUGCUCUGCUAAGACCAUCAAUCCAUUUCGUAGAUUUAUAUUUCGACUCAAACCACCUUCCACAAUCUUUGCUUCUGUUAACAGAUUUGUAGAAUACCUCCUUUAUUAACGUUUAUUAACACGAGCUUCAGUUCUGCUAUGCAAGAAGUUAACUAAGAAUUCUCUAUCUGUCUUAAUUUCAACCAAGUGUGCUGAUCUAGCAAAGGUAAAAUAUAUCUACACUUUAUACAGCCUUUUAUAACUUCAUUUCUAACUGCUUCUGAGAAGAAAGAGAAAUAGCUAAUUAUCUGGUUCUUGACACCUCCAGAAACCUCCAGAAACUCCAGAAACUCUGGUACUGAGUAUCACCUUCAGUGAGCUACCAUUUUCUACUGUGCUGCUUCAGAAGAUCCUGAAAAGACAAAGAGAAAAUGUCUCUUGACUAACACUGGAAAGACGCUGCUUUGGUCUGGUCAAAAUCCAACAUUGAUUCAUUGAUUUAAGUUUUGCUUGAUAGAUUAAUUGAUUGAUUGCAUUUAACAACACAGCUUUAAUCAAUAAAGCUUAAAACAUCAAGCCUUCACCUUAGUGUUAGCAUUUGUGCACUAGAGGGGGCUUUCAAGUCCCCUUGGCAGGAUAUGGCUUUUCCAAAUAUCCAGCAAUUGGUAUUUUUCUUUGCAACGUGUAGUCCAAACAUUAAAACAUUGCAGUUAAAAUACCAACAUGUGGAAUAAAACGUUGAGUUAAUAUCACAUACAUUUUGAGGGCUACAACAGAUAAUUUAUAAGCAAACAUUUCAAACAUUUUAGGUUUGUUUAAUGAGUGAAAAAUAGGGCUUUGCGUUUUAAAGCUGGGUAAUUGCUGGGUAAUACAUAAUUUUAUGCACAUUCUUAUUUCCAUUCUGAUGAAAUGUAAGUGAAACGGUUGGUUGAGUAAGCCGAUCCAUCCUAAGUGUCCAUCAGAAUUAUGCUCUGGAGGGAUUCGACAGCUCUGCUGUACCGAGGUUUAUUUUUUUUAAUUAUGUAAAAAAAAUGGGAAAAUGUUUAAAGAGAUCAAUCAGGACUAAUUGCUUACAGCCUUCAGAUUUUUACUUAAGCAAGUCAAUUAUCUGAAUCUCUGAGGUAAAUUAACAUCAGUAAAGCAGUUCAUUUUGUAGAAUGUAUUUUAGUCCCACAAAUAUUAUAAUUUAUAAAUGAUAAAUUACUAAAAAGCAGAGUACAUCUUGGGAUACAUAUUUAUGUUGGUGAAACAUUUCGUGAUUUAUUAUCUUUUUGGAGAAUUAAUAUUUGUGUCAUUUGAUUUCUGCAGCAUGUAAUUGAAUGACAGUAGUAAAGCUGUGCAGUUAUGGUCAUGUGAAUGUAACACGGCUGCCAUAACUUCUAUAGUGGCCUCAUGGUGAGGAAUAACAUUUCAACAGCUGCAAGAUGAACAUCUGGAGUGCUAUUCCACUGAAGUGGAUUAUGAGAAAAUCUCAUUUUGAAUACUGGAAACAGAACCUUAAAAUAAAUCUGCUUUCUUAUUAUGGUGUUGCAUUCACAUUUGAUGCUCUUAAUGAACAUGAAAUUUAAUUUUAUUUCUCUAUCCCUAAAUUAAUUUCUGUAUUCACCUUUUAAAGUAAGGCAUGUUCUAAAAUAAGGUUACAGUUUUUAAAUGGUCCAUCAUGAUCAUAGCAUGAAAUAAGAAUAAGCAUAUAUGUAUCUGAAUAUGUAAUAUUGAUUAUGUAACCAUAAGAUAUUUCCUUUUUUUGGCACUGUUUAUUAAAGAUACUUUUGUUUGGAUCAUCCCACAGAUAAUCAUCUGAUGUUAACACUGUUUCUUGACAAAAAUAACUAUUUUUUUCCUAAAAUCUUUGAUUGUGUUUUUGCCAUAAUCAAAAGAAUGCUUCAUGGCACAGUCUAUUUAAUUUUAAACAUGGAUACAUUUUUGCUCUUAAUUGUUGUCUGAUAACACCAAACCUUUGUUUUGUAGAAAAGUAGAGAACUCUGCCAACCCCGGGCAUCCUCAGGUCAAAAGAAAACUAAGAAGCUAAUAAAGCAGACUGUUCAAAUUAUGUGAUACGAUUAUAACCACAUUAAAUCAAUAUGCAAAAAACAAUUCAAUUCCAAACAAUGUAAACU